rnacentral:rRNA from 1 species
UGGGGAAUAUUGCGCAAUGGCCGAAAGGCUGACGCAGCGACGCCGCGUGUGGGAGGAAGCCCUUCGGGGUGUAAACCACUGUCGAGGGGGACGAAUCCCGGGCGGGCGAAUAGCCCGAACGGUUGACGGUACCCCUAAAGGAAGCACCGGCUAACUCCGUGCCAGCAGCCGCGGUAAGACGGAGGGUGCAAGCGUUGUUCGGAAUUACUGGGCGUAAAGCGCGGGCAGGUGGCCUUUUAAGUCCUUUGUGAAAUCCCGGGGCUCAACUCCGGAUGUGCAUAGGAUACUGGAAGGCUCGAGACUGGUAGAGGCGAGCGGAAUUCCUGGUGUAGCGGUGGAAUGCGUAGAUAUCAGGAAGAACACCGGUGGCGAAGGCGGCUCGCUGGGCCAGUUCUGACACUCAGCCGCGAAAGCGUGGGGAGCAAACAG